CCUAAAGAGUCAUUAAGAUACUAUUUUUAUAUUCUAGAAGACCACAAUGUGAUUGUGAAUUGACAUGCUAUUUUUUUUAAAAAUAGUUUAUUCAAGAUAGUGGCAUCGGAAGAAUAAUUAAGCUCAAGGAGAAUGUCUCUCAAGAGCAACGAGCUAAAUAACCUAAGGAACCCAAUCAAUUAGAACCAGUCCUAACACAAUCUCUUCCACCUCGU
rnacentral:lncRNA from 1 species